rnacentral:rRNA from 1 species
UACGGAGGGGGCUAGCGUUAUUCGGAAUUAUUGGGCGUAAAGGGUGCGUAGGUGGGUUGGUAAGUCAGUGGUGAAAUACUUUCGCUUAACGAAGGAACUGCCAUUGAUACUACCAGUCUUGAAUACAGUGGAGGUAGGCGGAAUGCGUCAUGGUAGCGGUGAAAUGCUUAGAUAUGACGCAGAACACCAAUUGCGAAGGCAGCUUGCUACACUGUUAUUG